rnacentral:rRNA from 1 species
UACGGAGGGUGCAAGCGUUGUCCGGAUUUAUUGGGUUUAAAGGGUACGUAGGCGGUUAUUUAAGUCUGUGGUGAAAGUCUGUAGCUCAACUAUAGAAUUGCCAUGGAUACUGGAUGACUUGAGUGUCGUAAAGGUAGGCGGAAUUGAUGAUGUAGCGGUGAAAUGCAUAGAUAUCAUCAAGAACACCAAUAGUGAAGACAGCUUACUUGACGAUAACUGACGCUGAGGUACGAAAGCGUGGGUAGCGAACAGG